CGGGCGUUCUGUGAAAACCACAGCAGCAGUUCAGAGAUGGCACAUUGUUGUGUGUGAGUGUGUGUGGAUUUGGCUUUCACAAUUGUGGAAAGAGUUACCAACAGCAUUCAAUGCUGAAGACAAUGCACA